CUUAUCAGUUUAAUAUCUGAUACGUCCUCUAUCCGAGGACAAUAUAUUAAAUGGGUUUUUGGAACUAGGAGUUGGAAUAGGAGCUUGCUCCGUCCACUCCACGCAUCGACCUGGUAUUGCAGUACCUCCAGGAACGGUGC
rnacentral:snRNA from 1 species